rnacentral:rRNA from 1 species
UGCAUAUCAAUAAGCGGAGGAAAAGAAACCAACAGGGAUUGCCUUAGUAGCGGCGAGUGAAGCGGCAAGAGCUCAAAUUUGAAAUCUGGUACCUUCGGUGCCCGAGUUGUAAUUUGAAGAAAGCUAUCUUGGAGGUGGCCUUUGUCUAUGUUCCUUGGAACAGGACGUCAUGGAGGGUGAGAAUCCCGUGUGAUGAGGUGUCCAUUUCCGUGUAAGAUGCUUUCGAAGAGUCGAGUUGUUUGGGAAUGCAGCUCAAAGUGGGUGGUAAAUUCCAUCUAAAGCUAAAUAUUGGCGAGAGACCGAUAGCGAACAAGUACUGUGAAGGAAAGAUGAAAAGAACUUUGAAAAGAGAGUGAAAAAGUACGUGAAAUUGUUGAAAGGGAAGGGUAUUUGAUCAGACUUGGUAUUUAGCUAUCAUCGCUCCUUGUGGGUGGUGCUCUAGCUUUUUACUGGGCCAGCAUCAGUUUUGGUGGCAAGAUAAUGACAGUUGAAUGUGGCUCCUCGGAGUGUUAUAGCUUCUGUUGAUGUUGCCUACCCGAGACUGAGGUCUGCGGCUUUGCCNAGAUGCGCNNUUCGGGGUGU